ensembl:misc_RNA Metazoa_SRP Metazoan signal recognition particle RNA
GCCUGGUGCGGUGGCAUGUGCCUGUAAUCCAAGUCACUGGGAGGCUGAGGUUGGUGGAUCAAGUGCGCUGAGGAGCUCUGGGCUGCAGCACGCUAUGUCGAACGCUAAGUUCGGUAUCGAUAUGGUGUUCCUGGGGGAGCCCGGGACCACCAGGUUGUCUAAGGAGGGGUGAACCGGCCCAGGUCGGAAACGAAGCAGGUCAAAUCCCCCGUGCUGUCCAGUACUGGGAUAAUACCUGUGAGUAGAUGCUGCAGUGCAGCCUUGGCAAAACAUCGAGACCUAAUCUUUU